UACGAAGGGGGCUAGCGUUGCUCGGAAUCACUGGGCGUAAAGCGCACGUAGGCGGAUUUCUAAGUCAGGGGUGAAAUCCUGGAGCUCAACUCCAGAACUGCCUUUGAUACUGGGAAUCUCGAGUCCGGGAGAGGUGAGUGGAACUGCGAGUGUAGAGGUGAAAUUCGUAGAUAUUCGCAAGAACACCAGUGGCGAAGGCGGCUCACUGGCCCGAUACUGACGCUGAGGUGCGAAAGCGUGGGGAGCAAACAGG
rnacentral:rRNA from 1 species